rnacentral:rRNA from 1 species
GACGAACCGUCCAAACGUUAUUCGGAAUCACUGGGCUUAAAGGGUGCGUAGGCGGCGCGGAAAGUUGGGUGUGAAAUCCCUCGGCUCAACCGAGGAACUGCGCCCAAAACUGCCGUGCUUGAGGGAGAUAGAGGUGAGCGGAACUUAGGGUGGAGCGGUGAAAUGCGUUGAUAUCCUAAGGAACACCGGUGGCGAAGGCGGCAUCCUGGACCAACACUGACACUGAGGAGCGAAAGCCAGGGGAGCAAACGGG